UUUAAUGAAGUUUUCGGAUGGAUUUAGAACAGCUUAGUGGCGGACGGGUGAGUAACGCGUGGGUAACCUGCCUUUCAGAGGGGGACAACAGUUGGAAACGACUGCUAAUACCGCAUGACGUACGAGGAAGGCAUCUUCUUUGUAUCAAAGAUUUAUCGCUGAAGGAUGGGCUCGCGUCUGAUUAGAUAGUUGGUGGGGUAACGGCCUACCAAGUCGACGAUCAGUAGCCGGACUGAGAGGUUGAACGGCCACAUUGGGACUGAGACACGGUCCAGACUCC
rnacentral:rRNA from 1 species